UUAUCUCAUUUUUGUGAUCACAAAUUCUAUUCAGAAUUUUUGAUAAUUAAUUUCCAUACACUUUUGAUCCUCAAAUUACAAGGCGCGUGGCAUCUUGAUUUUCAAACUUUAAUUUAUUAUAAUUUUUAGUUCGAACUAUCUAAAUUAUUGUUAUUAAAUUUCGCAAUCUAAUUUAAUGUGCCAAAUAUUGAUAUGGCCUGAGCGGUGAGGUAGUAGUAUUGCGAUUGAUUAUACGACAAUAAUUAAGAUUUAUAUUACUUUUAUAUCAGCACCUUAUCAUUAUUUAGCCAAUUAAAUUGAAUUGUAAAAAUUACUUGUAAUAAUUUAUAAAAUUUAAAUAUAAAAUUAUAAUAAAUUAAAGUAUAAAAACUAAAGUAUCAUGGCCCUCAUACGUUCCAGGGCCAUAAAUAUAAGUUGGGAAAACUUCAAAAACCCCCCAUGUGGUUUCAUGCAUUCUCACUUUGCUACCCUGUGGUUUAAAACGUAUCAUUUUGCCUCCCUGUGGUUUCGUUUUUAUCUUUUUAUUAUCAAUUUUAUUAUUAUUUUUUAAAAUCAGUGACAAAGUUAAAAUUAAAGGAUACUAAAGUGACUAUUCGAUAAAUAUAGAUGGUUAUCUGAAGUUUUUUGUAUAUAAUUUAAC
rnacentral:lncRNA from 1 species